rnacentral:rRNA from 1 species
UACGUAGGUGGCAAGCGUUUGUCCGGAAUUAUUGGGCGUAAAGCGCGCGCAGGCGGACUUCGUUAAGUCUGAUGUGAAAUCUCGGGGCUCAACCCCGAGCGGCCAUUGGAAACUGGGAAGCUUGAGUACAGAAGAGGAGAGUGGAAUUCCACGUGUAGCGGUGAAAUGCGUAGAUAUGUGGAGGAACACCAGUGGCGAAGGCGACUCUCUGGUCUGUAACUGACGCUGGAGGAGCGAAAGCGUGGGGAGCGAACAGG